GGUUCCUCACUCUUUAGCGAGUCAACAGUCUAUGUCCUUCGCUCUUCAGCGAGUCAACAGCCCAUGAAAAAGGUCUCUAGUUCUUUAGUGAGUCAACGACCUGUGCUCCUCCCUCCUCAGUGAUCAAUGGCCUAUGUCCUUCUCUUUUCAAUGAGCCAACGGCCCACUAUGACACUCCUUGCCCCCAGACAAGUGGAGUGAAGGCCGUGACGACAUCAAUUAUAUGGCAGUCCUUGCCCUUAGGCAAGUGGAGAAAGAGAUUGCCGCUUGAGUAAAGAUUCUCUUGGUACAUCUUCGGUAAUCUUAAAGUACUCUCUUCAUCCGAUCUAAUUCUGACUC
rnacentral:lncRNA from 1 species